CGGUGAAUACGUUCCCGGGCCUUGUACACACCGCCCGUCACGUCACGAAAGUCGGUAACACCCGAAGCCCGUGGCCCAACCCGUAAGGGGGGGAGCGGUCGAAGGUGGGACUGGCGAUUGGGACG
rnacentral:rRNA from 1 species